GCUCCACAUUGGGGACAUUCGAUCAAUUGGAACCAUACAGAGAAGAUUAGCAUGACCCUACACAAGAAUGACACGCACAAAUCGAGAAUGGUAUCAGAGCCAG